CUAGGAAGUGCCUGGCACGUAUUGAAGGUAUAAAUGAAUGAGUGAGUGAAUGUAUUAGCCCCGUGCCUGGCACAUAGGAAGGGCUAGCCUGGCCUAAGCUCUCUUGUCUUGGCUACCAAAUCCGCUCCCAACGCACCCAGAGGUGGCAAUCAGCUCUGCGGAAGGACCAGAUGCAGGUACUGAGAAUGGCCACCAGAGGGCGCUAUACGCACCGGUAACGGCACCCUGCCGCACAGGCUGAGUCUGCGGCAGCCUGGGGACCUUAGAACCCCCCUGCCGGCCCGCCCCCCCCCCCCCCCCCCCCCCCCCCCCCCCGCUCAAGCCACCCACCCCCAGCACGGGAGAGAUGGGAAGUAGACAUUCCGAACCAACACCUGCUCCUGGCAUAUCUGCUGAGGGCAUCUUGAAAAGAGGCAGAGGUCGCCGUUAGUGUAUGUUAUAAAACACAUACACACACUGCUUUGAGACACCAUUGCCAUGGUCCACGGGAUGAGGCACGGCUUCUAAGCCUGUACUCCAGAGUCUCCGUUUCCCAGCUUCAUCUCCGCCUCCGCCUUGCCGGGACCUCAGGCUCCAGCCAAAGAAGCAUUGCUCCUCUCCAGGAGCUGUUCGUAUGA
rnacentral:lncRNA from 1 species